UACGAAGGGGGCUAGCGUUGCUCGGAAUUACUGGGCGUAAAGGGUGCGUAGGCGGGUCUUUAAGUCAGAGGUGAAAUCCUGGAGCUCAACUCCAGAACUGCCUUUGAUACUGAGGAUCUUGAGUUCGGGAGAGGUGAGUGGAACUGCGAGUGUAGAGGUGAAAUUCGUAGAUAUUCGCAAGAACACCAGUGGCGAAGGCGGCUCACUGGCCCGAUACUGACGCUGAGGCACGAAAGCGUGGGGAUCAAACAGG
rnacentral:rRNA from 1 species